AUGUCACGUUACUUCAGUAAAUAGUGUUCGGUUAUUUUCUUCCGCUGUAUUUUAUUUGCACAAACGUUUGCACAAACCGGUGGUAAAUACCGUAAAUAAAAAAACAAACAUUAAAUAAAAUUAACAAUAAUCAAUGCAUUGCCGCGGUUUUAGACGACUUCAUGGCAUCAGAUACAGCUAAUAUGCAACGGCCAGGGGUAAAAAUCCACAUAUGGGAAGCUGCUAAAUUGUUGCUUGCUUAUCCCAUGAAACAAUUCCGUUACCUUAUCACUAGCAGCAGAACGCCAGCUUACCCGCAUCGACAGAAUAUGAGUUACAUAUUUACAUGAAACGGUCGUGUGUACCCUGAACUGAUAGUAUUUACUCGAGAAAUAGAUGCCGGAAUGCUUGGUGGAAGCAGUCCUGAAAGAAGUUUGGAAGCUUGAUCGUUGCUGGUGUUUCAAUAACAGAUGACAAAAGCAAGAUUAUUUUGACGGCUAUUUCUGGAACAAGAUAUCGAUCCGGAAAUAAGAAAAGACCAUCGAAAAGUAUUUUGCUUUCCAAUUCAUCAAGAAUUGCACAGCAGGAGGAGAAAAUCAUUCAAAGAUUUGCUCCGAACAAGUCUAAUCUGUAUUGGCUAUACAGCAACUGUUUGAGCUGAAUUUGAUCAACAUCAAGAAAGUUAGCAUCGCAGCGUCAUAGUACCUACUGAGCCAUUACGGACGAAUAUGAUUAUCUGAACGAGAAUUGAGCAAGCGGAAAACGAUAAAAAAACACAUGGAUUCGGGCUCGGAGAAUUCGGUUUGGUGAAAAACGAAUCACGGAAGAAACCUCGAAAGUCUUAUGGCAGUUCUUCUGAUAUCAUGUCUCAUAAUUUGCUGCUAAAUAUCUACCCGGGAGAAGUAAACACGCAUAUCGUUGAGCGAAUUUUGAAACUUGACAAAACUGCAAAGGAACGGUUGCUGGCAAAAAAGUGCAAACCACAAGGUAUUAUAAUAACUGCUAGAAUUUUGCCCUCAUGAAACCAGAGUCGAGUGUGCAUUUACUGAAGAUGCGGAUAGCGCAUUUAUUACGUUAUUACUAUCGAUUCGUAAUCGCCGAUGUUAAGGAGGAGAAGGCGGAUAAACCUGGGGAUAAACAAUCAACCUCCAAGGUAUUCAAUAACCGAGUCUCGUUAUUGUCAACAAUCCAUUGUUUGCCUCACACGGACGCGAAGAAGAAGUUGUGACGAUUACGCACACUUCUGCUGAUCGAAUGUUUCACUUCUGAGAAUAUAGAAACGCCUGUCGGAUUCUUUGCCUUAUUGGUGGCAGUGGUAAGAAAGCGCAUUGUGAGAGCAUGCCUGUCUCCUGUAUUCGAGAGUGCUGUCCGACUGGUGGCCAUCAUAGCCGCGAUGCUUUGAUGUAAUUAACUUGAUAGUGUCAAUCUCAUUCGGGUGACCAAUGUUAGUUUGUACCUUUUACUAUACUUUUUUUUUUAAACUUUCUAAAACUUGUUUGGUGGAAUGGCUUAUAUGUAUUCCAAUAAAUUCCAGCAUUUGAUGACUCUAAAGAUUCAUAUUUCGACAGGAACAGUAUAGUAUAUGGCCUUCUACAGUGUUUCACUGUUAACUGACCGUUAAGUAGAAUAACUCAUGUCUUACAUUUUACACCAACAAUAAAAUAUGUAUACACUAGAUAAAUAAA